CUCUCAGGAAUGGGUAGUGGGUACUGAACGAGUCCAGAGUUUGUUUUCAGGGUGAUGAACAGGUUCAGGAAUUAGGCAAUGGUGGCAUGACAUUGUGAAUAUACUAAAAAGAUUUAAUUGUACACUUUCAAAUGGUUAAGUUGAUGAAAUUUAUGAGAAUUUUAUUUCAAUUGAACAAUCUUAUAUCCUUACAUAUGUUUAUCAGUUGCUGAAAACAGCUUGUUAAAUUUUUCACUGUGCUUUGUAGAUUUUUCUAUUUCUCCUUUUAAUUCUGCCCAACUUUUUGAAGUUAUGGUACAUACAAAUUUGAAUUGUUAUAAGGUCAUUCCUUGUUAUUUGUGGUAGUUAUAUUGUACAAAGCUGUUCCAAAUACUGACUUAGUAAACACUUUCUCCAAGUGUUAGUAACACUUUCUCCAAAGAGGGAUACAGGGUUCGGUUCUUGUGAGGGUCUAUUCAAACAUUUUCAUUAACUGGUCACUACAAAACCUGGUUUUAUGGGCCAAGGAUGUAGCUCAGCGGCACAGCACCUGCCUGGUAAGUGCAAGGACCCAAGUUUGAUCCCUGCUAUGAAAAAAGCCCACCUGGUUUUAUGCACGUCUUUGUUUAAAGACAUUUUAAUAUAUAUUGUUGAUGCAUCAACAUCAAACUCAACAAACAGCAGUGCAAUUUACACUAGAAAUAGGUUCUCUCUCACACAUAUUUUCUUCCUAAGGUCCAUCCUGACCUUUUUGUAUCUUGGAACUCAUUAGCACUACAUUUGGGGACCAAUUUAAGCAGUGAAACUGUGAGGAGAAAGCACAAAAAUGUGGAAAACAUGACACUGAAUCGUUCAUCAGAAGAACUGUUUAUAGCCUGGGAACCGAAGCGAGGAAGAAGGCUGCCUUACUCAUCUCGGACCAUUCACAGGAUGCUCUAAUGUUCCCAGUAUCCUCUGCUUGUCCACGAAUAACCCCAAAAUCUAUGAGACCAUGGAUUUGGGAUGACAAACUUCAGCAAGCAGGUACUAUUGCAAAUACGGACUCCUCAAUAAUGAGGAUCAAUUGUCUUGCUGCAACUUGGAUUUCUAGGUCUUAAAAUGUCCCUCUGGCCAUGGCAUCUCUAGAGAGCCUGAGGAGCCAGAAACUCCCUACACAAAGGCUCCACUUAGAAAGAGGAAACUGGAAACGCUACUGGCAGCUUCCCCGGUUUCUGUCCUAGGGAGCAACUUUUUUGUUUUGUUUUGUUUUGUUUUUUUGGCAGUACUGGGCAUUAAAUAGGACCUUCACACUGAGCUACAUCCUCAGCCCCUACUUUAAUCUUUUAUUUUGAGACAGAGGCUCACCAAAUUGAUAAGUGGCCCAGGCUGGCCUUGAUUCUGCAAUUCUCCUGCCUCAGAGUGCUGGGAUUACAGGCGGUACCACCAUGCCCAACUAACUUCCUUCCUAACACCUGUCCUUUCAGGAUGGCUACGCCCACCUCCCCUAGUACAUACUUAUGCUCCUAUAACAAAUUAUCACUGCCUCGGUGGCUUAAAACAGUAGAAAUUUAUUCUCCAUUCUGGAGGCAAGAAGCCCACACUCCCUUCAAAGGACUAGGGGAGAGCCCUUCCCAUUCUUGUUCCAGCUGCUAGUGGCCAUCAGCCUUCCGGAGCCGUGCAGCUGGGAGUCCAGGCACUGCCUCUGUGGCUGUACUGCCUUCUCUUCCCCCUGUGAAAGCUUCCUUGGCCUCCCUCUGACAAAGGCCAGGUGAUUACACUGGGUAAUCCUGCAAACUGUUAGCCUCCCAAGAUCCCUCCUUUCCCAAGCCAGGUAACAGGUACAGGCUGUAGGAAUCAGGACCCGAUUGCCUUCUUUGAAGGACACUUUGCAGCCUGCUCUACCUUGUAUCCUCGUGCUUGGUGGGGAGGAAGGCCUCACUCAGAGGCCCACGGGACUUCCUGGUUUGUUCCAUGAGAACUGGCAACCCAGCUGAGCACGAGUAGGAUCUGGCCCUCAGUGAGAUGAGCAAUACACUCUGGAGACCAGGACAGAGGCCAGGGGACACCAGCUCUUCCUCAGUGCUGUAGCAUCUCUUGGGCACAGGGCUUGGCCCUGGGGUUGCGUUACUUCUGACAGUGACAGUAGCACCUCCUCCACGGUGGACCCAGGAGCUGCUGCAGAUUCACCUGUAAAUUAAAACCCUCUCCUCAGCAAAGGGCUGAGCCUGCCUCCUUCUGCUUCACAUACCAGAGGUCGGGCACUUUAUAAAGAAAAGAAAUUACUUUGGCUCACUGUGAUGGAAGUUGGGAAGUUCAAGAUCUGUGGAGGGCCUCAUGUCGGUGGGGACUCGGAAGAGUCCCAUGGCAGCACAGAGCAAGACACAGCAAGCUCGCUAGCUUGGGUCUCUCUUUCUCGUCGGAUGAAACCAGGAAGAAGUCACGAGGCCGCAUCCUCAUGACCGCAUCUUAUCCUAAUUACCACCAGGGCUGGGAAUUUAGCUCCGUGGUCCCACCACGUGCCUCGCAAGCUCAAGGACCAGAGUUCAAUCCUGGUACCAAAAAAAAAAUUUCAGUGGCUAAUUACCGCCCCAAAGCCUCAGUUGUCCUACCAUUUAACACCUCACAGGGGAUUAAAUUUCAACAGGAGGUUUGGGAAGGACAGUCAAACUACAGCAAGCUGAUUCCACCAGACUGAUUGUUCCUUGAAUGCUGCAGCUGAGCCUGUCCAUGCAGCUAUGUAGCUGAUGAAGACCACCUGAACACUACCCCAUACUGGGUCCUGGGAAGGCAGGUCUCAGCCAGCCAGGUGCUCCCAGCCCAGCUGCAAAGGACUUGUGAGGUCUUUCAACAUUGAAUCUACCUUCCUCAGCUUCCCAGAGUGCUGGGAUUCCAGCAAUUUAGAUUUUUAUUUCCAUUGAAAUACUCCUCCAUCAUCUGAAACUCGAAGAAGUUCCAAAGGCAACUGGAAUGAUUGGGCGUCAGUGGGAUAAAGGCACCAAGAUUAGAAUAAGAAGCUCUAAAGAAGAACUCUAAAGCUAUUUCACCUGUUCCUGACUUGCUUACCUUCUCAGUGAUCUGGAAGACAUCGAGCUGCUGACACACGGAACAACCUGGGUAAAUCUUGAAUAUACACCAUUACGCUGAGUAAAAAAAGCCACACACAGAGGGAAACACUGUUGGAUUCCAUUUUUUAAAGGACAGUCUGAAAGGCAAAACUAUAGUGGCAAAAUUUAGACCAGUGGUUGCCAGAAUUGGGGAUGAAGGGGCUAACCUGGAUAAAACUGGGGUUAGUGGAACAUUUCUGGAUAAUGAAAAUGCUGUCCUGUUUAUCUUUAUUGUGAUUAUAUCUACAUGGUUGUUUGUAUACAUUCAUCAAAAUGUACAUGAAGAAUGGAGAAUGUUCUAUACAUAAAUUGUGCCUUGACACAUCCAAAAUACCUGACUUAAACAAUAAGCGUUAUCAUACCAAGAGUUAGACUGACAGGCCCAAUACGGUGGGGUUACUGUCUUGCCUCAUUGGAAUAAGACACUAUUAAUGCAGUUAAAACUAGUACUUGGCUUAGGGAAACCGUUUCACAAUUUUGUCUCAAAUCAAGC
rnacentral:lncRNA from 1 species